GACGAACGCUGGCGGCGUGCCUAAUACAUGCAAGUAGAACGCUGAAGGAGGAGCUUGCUUCUCUGGAUGAGUUGCGAACGGGUGAGUAACGCGUAGGUAACCUGCCUGGUAGCGGGGGAUAACUAUUGGAAACGAUAGCUAAUACCGCAUAAUAGUAGAUGUUGCAUGACAUUUGCUUAAAAGGUGCAAUUGCAUCACUACCAGAUGGACCUGCGUUGUAUUAGCUAGUUGGUGAGGUAACGGCUCACCAAGGCAACGAUACAUAGCCGACCUGAGAGGGUGGUCGGCCAAACUGGGACUGAGACACGGCCCCGACUCCUACGGGAGGCCGCCGUAGGGAAUCUUCGGCAAUGGACGGAAGUCUGACCGAGCAACGCCGCGUGAGUGAAGAAGGUUUUCGGAUCGUAAAGCUCUGUUGUAAGAGAAGAACGAGUGUGAGAGUGGAAAGUUCACACUGUGACGGUAUCUUACCAGAAAGGGACGGCUAACUACGUG
rnacentral:rRNA from 1 species